rnacentral:rRNA from 1 species
AGAGUUUGAUCAUGGCUCAGAACGAACGCUGGCGGCGUGGAUAAGACAUGCAAGUCGAACGCUUGUUCCAGUGUAGCAAUACAUUGGAGCAGGAGUGGCGCAAGGGUGCGUAACACGUGGGUAAUUUGCCGUAGAGUUGGGGAUAACUCGCUGAAAGGCGAGCUAAUACCGGAUGUGGCCCGGGGGAGGCAUCUCUCUUUGGCUGAAGGUGGGGACCGUCAAAGGCCUGCCGCUCUACGAUAAGCCCGCGGCCUAUCAGCUUGUUGGCGGGGUAACGGCCCACCAAGGCUAAGACGGGUAGCUGGUCUGAGAGGACGACCAGCCACACUGGAACUGAGACACGGUCCAGACACCUACGGGUGGCAGCAGUCGAGAAUUUUUCUCAAUGGGCGCAAGCCUGAAGGAGCGACGCCGCGUGGGGGAUGAAGGGUUUCGAUCCGUAAACCCCUGUCAUUUGUGAACAAGGGCUGUUAUUUAAAAGAUGGCAGCUUGAUAGUAAGAAAGAGAAG